CCUACGGGUGGCAGCAGUAGGGAAUCUUUCACAAUGGGCGAAAGCCUGAUGGAGCAACGCCGCGUGCAGGAUGAAGGCCUUCGGGUUGUAAACUUCUUUUAUAAGCGAGAAAUAUGAUGGUAACUUAUGAGUAAGGAUCGGCUAACUACGUACCAGCAGCCGCGGUCAUACGUAGGAUCCGAGCAUUAUCCGGAGUGACUGGGUGUAAAGAGUUGCGUAGGUGGCAUAAUAAGUAGCUAGUGAAAUCUGGUGGCUCAACCAUUCAGACUAUUAGCUAAACUGUUAAGCUCGAGACCGUUAGGGGUAACUGGAAUUUCUAGUGUAGGAGUGAAAUCCGUAGAUAUUAGAAGGAACACCAAUAGCGUAGGCAGGUUGCUGGGACGGUUCUGACACUAAGGCACGAAAGCGUAGGGAGCAAACGGGAUUAGAUACCCUUGUAGUC
rnacentral:rRNA from 1 species